rnacentral:rRNA from 1 species
GACGAACGCUGGCGGCGUGCCUAAUACAUGCAAGUUGAGCGCUGAAGGUUGGUACUUGUACCAACUGGAUGAGCAGCGAACGGGUGAGUAACGCGUGGGGAAUCUGCCUUUGAGCGGGGGACAACAUUUGGAAACGAAUGCUAAUACCGCAUAAAAACUUUAAACACAAGUUUUAAGUUUGAAAGAUGCAAUUGCAUCACUCAAAGAUGAUCCCGCAUUGUAUUAGCUAGUUGGUGAGGUAAAGGCUCACCAAGGCGAUGAUACAUAGCCGACCUGAGAGGGUGAUCGGCCACAUUGGGACUGAGACACGGCCCAAACUCCUACGGGAGGCAGCAGUAGGGAAUCUUCGGCAAUGGACGAAAGUCUGACCGAGCAACGCCGCGUGAGUGAAGAAGGUUUUCGGAUCGUAAAACUCUGUUGGUAGAGAAGAACGUUGGUGAGAGUGGAACGCUCAUCAAGUGACGGUAACUACCCAGAAAGGGACGGCUAACUACGUG